GUGAGGAAUUUUGGUCAAUGGACGGAAGUCUGAACCAGCCAAGUCGCGUGAAGGAAGGCGGCCCUAAGGGUUGUAAACUUCUUUUGUAAGGGAAUAAAGUGCGUUACGUGUAGUGCAUUGCAAGUACCUUACGAAUAAGGAUCGGCUAACUCCGUGCCAGCAGCCGCGGUAAUACGGAGGAUCCGAGCGUUAUCCGGAUUUAUUGGGUUUAAAGGGUGCGCAGGCGGGGGAUUAGGUCGGCGGUGAAAUAUCAGGGCUCAACCUUGAGAGUGCCGUCGAAACCGGUUUUCUUGAGUGCGGAUGAAGUAGGCGGAAUUUGUGGUGUAGCGGUGAAAUGCGUAGAUAUCACAAAGAACACCGAUUGCGGAGGCAGCUUACUAAACCGCAACUGACGCUCAUGCACGAAGGCGUGGGGAUCAAACAGGAUUAGAAACCCUAGUAGUCC
rnacentral:rRNA from 1 species